GUUUUAAAAUUUGAAGACAUCUUUUGGUUUAUUUAAUUCAAAUCUUUAUUUUGCAGAUGAGGAAACAGCAACCCAGAGAGGAGAAGUAACCCACACUGGAUCAUUUCGUGAAGGAGCAAGGCUGAAGACCCAGACCUGCACUUUCUUAGGGGAGGGCUACGGAUCACAUCUUCUGCAAUAUUUCCAAGUCAUCUUUUCAAAAGCACAUAACUGAAAACAGGAGAUGCAUGGUGUGCCUGAAUAAAGUAAGCAUUUCAAGUUAUUGGUUUAGCUUUGCUGAGAUGUAGCACUAGGUCUCUAAGGAAGUGGAUAGAUUAAGAUCACAUUUCAUUGUGAAAAUUUAGAACUUUAAAAUGUUUGCUGUCAUCUAGUUCUAGGUUAUCUCUGGAUAAUUAAUUUCACGGUAUUUCUGUC
rnacentral:lncRNA from 1 species